GUGUCAGCAGCCGCGGUAAGACGAACCGUGCGAACGUUAUUCGGAAUCACUGGGCUUAAAGCGCGUGUAGGCGGGACGGCACGUCUGUCGCUGAAAUCCCCCGGCUUAACCGGGGAACUGGCGUAGAUACGACCGUCCUGGAGGGGCGUAGGGGGACCUGGAACUUCCGGUGGAGCGGUGAAAUGCGUUGAGAUCGGAAGGAACGCCCGUGGCGAAAGCGAGGUCCUGGACGCCUACUGACGCUGAGACGCGAAAGCCAGGGGAGCGAACGGGAUUAGAAACCCGCGUAGUCC
rnacentral:rRNA from 1 species